AUUCCCCUAGUAACUGCGAGUGAAGCGGGAAAAGCUCAAAUUUGAAAUCUGGCGGCUCCGUCGCCCGAGUUGUAUUCUGGAGAAGCGUUUUCCGUGCCGGACCGUGUACAAGUCCCUUGGAACAGGGCGUCAUAGAGGGUGAGAAUCCCGUCUUUGACACGGACUCCCGGUGCUAUGUGAUGCGCUCUCGAAGAGUCGAGUUGUUUGGGAAUGCAGCUCAAAAUGGGUGGUAAAUUCCAUCUAAAGCUAAAUAUUGGCGAGAGACCGAUAGCGAACAAGUACCGUGAGGGAAAGAUGAAAAGCACUUUGGAAAGAGAGUAAAACAGUACGUGAAAUUGUUGAAAGGGAAACGCUUGAAGUCAGUCGCGUCUGCCGGAACUCAGCCUUGCUUCUGCUCGGUGCACUUUCCGGUUCGACGGGCCAGCAUCGGUUUUGGGCGGCGGACACUGGCGCGGGGAAGGUGGCAGCUCCGGCUGUGUUAUAGCCCCGCGUCGCAAACGCCGUCCGGGACCGAGGAAUCCGGCGCAAGCCUGGGAUGCUGGCGUAAUGGCUUUAAACGACCCGUCUUGAAACACGGACCAAGGAGUGCUACACGCUCGCGAGUGUUUGGGUGGAAAACCCGGACGCGCAAUGAAAGUGAAAGUCGAUACCCCUCGCGGGGGCACCGACGCCCGAGCCUGAUGUUUUCGGAAGGCCUUGCGGUAGAGCGAGUGCGUUGCGACCCGAAAGAUGGUGAACUAUUCCUGAGGAGGGCGAAGCCAGAGGAAACUCUGGUGGAGGCUCGUAGCGGUUCUGACGUGCAAAUCGAUCGCAGGACUUGGGUAUAGGGGCGAAAGACUAAUCGAACCAUCUAGUAGCUGGUUCCUGCCGAAG
rnacentral:rRNA from 1 species